AUUGAACGCUGGCGGCAGGCCUAACACAUGCAAGUCGAGCGGAUGAAGGGAGCUUGCUCCUGGAUUCAGCGGCGGACGGGUGAGUAAUGCCUAGGAAUCUGCCUGGUAGUGGGGGAUAACGUCCGGAAACGGGCGCUAAUACCGCAUACGUCCUGAGGGAGAAAGUGGGGGAUCUUCGGACCUCACGCUAUCAGAUGAGCCUAGGUCGGAUUAGCUAGUUGGUGGGGUAAAGGCCUACCAAGGCGACGAUCCGUAACUGGUCUGAGAGGAUGAUCAGUCACACUGGAACUGAGACACGGUCCAGACUCCUACGGGAGGCAGCAGUGGGGAAUAUUGGACAAAGGGCGAAAGCCUGAUCCAGCCAUGCCGCGUGUGUGAAGAUGGUCUUCGGAUUGUAAAGCACUUUAAGUUGGGAGGAAGGGCAGUAAGUUAAUACCUUGCUGUUUUGACGUUACCAACAGAAUAAGCACCGGCUAACUUCGUG
rnacentral:rRNA from 1 species